GUGGGGAAUCUUCAGCAAUGGACGAAAGUCUGACGGAGCAACGCCGCGUGAGUGAAGAAGGUUUUCGGAUCGUAAAGCUCUUUCGUUAGGGACGAACGUGCUCUUUGUGAAUAAUGAGGAGUAAUGACGGUACCUAAAUAAGAAGCCACGGCUAACUACGUGCCAGCAGCCGCGGUAAUACGUAGGUGGCAAGCGUUGUCCGGAAUUAUUGGGCGUAAAGCGCGCGCAGGCGGGAUAUCAAGUCUGUCUUAAAAGUGCGAGGCUCAACCUCGUGAGGGGACAGAAACUGGUAUUCUUGAGUGUCGGAGAGGAAAGUGGAAUUCCAAGUGUAGCGGUGAAAUGCGUAGAGAUUUGGAAGAACACCAGUGGCGAAGGCGACUUUCUGGACGAUGUCUGACGCUGAGGCGCGAAAGCUAGGGGAGCGAACGGGAUUAGAAACCCGUGUAGUCC
rnacentral:rRNA from 1 species